rnacentral:rRNA from 1 species
UUAAGCGACUAAGCGUACACGGUGGAUGCCCUGGCAGUCAGAGGCGAUGAAGGACGUGCUAAUCUGCGAAAAGCGCCGGCGAGGUGAUAUGAACCCUUGACCCGGCGAUGUCCGAAUGGGGAAACCCAGUGUGUUCCGACACACUAUCGUUAACUGAAUACAUAGGUUAACGAGGCGAACCGGGGGAACUGAAACAUCUAAGUACCCCGAGGAAAAGAAAUCAACCGAGAUUCCCCCAGUAGCGGCGAGCGAACGGGGAGCAGCCCGGAGUCUGAAUCAGCUUGUGUGUUAGUGGAACGGUCUGGAAAGUCCGACGGUACAGGGUGAUAGUCCCGUACACGAAAGCACACUUGCUGUGAACUCGAAGAGUAGGGCGGGACACGUGGUAUCCUGUCUGAAUAUGGGGGGACCAUCCUCCAAGGCUAAAUACUCCUGACUGACCGAUAGUGAACCAGUACCGUGAGGGAAAGGCGAAAAGAACCCCGGCGAGGGGAGUGAAAAAGAACCUGAAACCGUGUACGUACAAGCAGUGGGAGCCUCUUUAUGGGGUGACUGCGUACCUUUUGUAUAAUGGGUCAGCGACUUAUAUUCUGUAGCAAGGUUAACCGUAUAGGGGAGCCGAAGGGAAACCGAGUCUUAACUGGGCGUUAAGUUGCAGGGUAUAGACCCGAAACCCGGUGAUCUAGCCAUGGGCAGGUUGAAGGUUGGGUAACACUAACUGGAGGACCGAACCGACUAAUGUUGAAAAAUUAGCGGAUGACCUGUGGCUGGGGGUGAAAGGCCAAUCAAACCGGGAGAUAGCUGGUUCUCCCCGAAAGCUAUUUAGGUAGCGCCUCGUGAACUCAUCUUCGGGGGUAGAGCACUGUUUCGGCUAGGGGGCCAUCCCGGCUUACCAACCCGAUGCAAACUACGAAUACCGAAGAAUGUUAUCACGGGAGACACACGGCGGGUGCUAACGUCCGUCGUGAAGAGGGAAACAACCCAGACCGCCAGCUAAGGUCCCAAAGUCAUGGUUAAGUGGGAAACGAUGUGGGAAGGCACAGACAGCCAGGAUGUUGGCUUAGAAGCAGCCAUCAUUUAAAGAAAGCGUAAUAGCUCACUGGUCGAGUCGGCCUGCGCGGAAGAUGUAACGGGGCUAAACCAUGCACCGAAGCUGCGGCAGCGACACUAUGUGUUGUUGGGUAGGGGAGCGUUCUGUAAGCCGUUGAAGGUGUGCUGUGAGGCAUGCUGGAGGUAUCAGAAGUGCGAAUGCUGACAUAAGUAACGAUAAAGCGGGUGAAAAGCCCGCUCGCCGGAAGACCAAGGGUUCCUGUCCAACGUUAAUCGGGGCAGGGUGAGUCGACCCCUAAGGCGAGGCCGAAAGGCGUAGUCGAUGGGAAACAGGUUAAUAUUCCUGUACUUGGUGUUACUGCGAAGGGGGGACGGAGAAGGCUAUGUCAGCCGGGCGACGGUUGUCCCGGUUUAAGCAUGUAGGCGGAGGUUCCAGGUAAAUCCGGUACCUUGUUAACGCUGAGGUGUGAUGACGAGGCACUACGGUGCUGAAGUGAUAAAUGCCCUGCUUCCAGGAAAAGCCUCUAAGCAUCAGGUAACACGAAAUCGUACCCCAAACCGACACAGGUGGUCAGGUAGAGAAUACCAAGGCGCUUGAGAGAACUCGGGUGAAGGAACUAGGCAAAAUGGUGCCGUAACUUCGGGAGAAGGCACGCUGAUAUGUAGGUGAAGUCCCUGCGGACGGAGCUGAAAUCAGUCGAAGAUACCAGCUGGCUGCAACUGUUUAUUAAAAACACAGCACUGUGCAAACACGAAAGUGGACGUAUACGGUGUGACGCCUGCCCGGUGCCGGAAGGUUAAUUGAUGGGGUCAGCGGCAACGCGAAGCUCUUGAUCGAAGCCCCGGUAAACGGCGGCCGUAACUAUAACGGUCCUAAGGUAGCGAAAUUCCUUGUCGGGUAAGUUCCGACCUGCACGAAUGGCGUAAUGAUGGCCAGGCUGUCUCCACCCGAGACUCAGUGAAAUUGAACUCGCUGUGAAGAUGCAGUGUACCCGCGGCAAGACGGAAAGACCCCGUGAACCUUUACUAUAGCUUGACACUGAACACUGGUCCUUGAUGUGUAGGAUAGGUGGGAGGCUUUGAAGCGUGGACGCCAGUCUGCGUGGAGCCAUCCUUGAAAUACCACCCUUUAAUGGCUGGUGUUCUAACGUAGACCCGUGAUCCGGGUUGCGGACAGUGUCUGGUGGGUAGUUUGACUGGGGCGGUCUCCUCCCAAAGAGUAACGGAGGAGCACGAAGGUUGGCUAAUCCUGGUCGGACAUCAGGAGGUUAGUGCAAUGGCAUAAGCCAGCUUGACUGCGAGCGUGACGGCGCGAGCAGGUGCGAAAGCAGGUCAUAGUGAUCCGGUGGUUCUGAAUGGAAGGGCCAUCGCUCAACGGAUAAAAGGUACUCCGGGGAUAACAGGCUGAUACCGCCCAAGAGUUCAUAUCGACGGCGGUGUUUGGCACCUCGAUGUCGGCUCAUCACAUCCUGGGGCUGAAGUAGGUCCCAAGGGUAUGGCUGUUCGCCAUUUAAAGUGGUACGCGAGCUGGGUUUAGAACGUCGUGAGACAGUUCGGUCCCUAUCUGCCGUGGGCGCUGGAGAAUUGAGGGGGGCUGCUCCUAGUACGAGAGGACCGGAGUGGACGCAUCACUGGUGUUCGGGUUGUCAUGCCAAUGGCACUGCCCGGUAGCUAAAUGCGGAAGAGAUAAGUGCUGAAAGCAUCUAAGCACGAAACUUGCCCCGAGAUGAGUUCUCCCUGAGACUUUAAGUCUCCUGAAGGAACGUUGAAGACGACGACGUUGAUAGGUCGGGUGUGUAAGCGCAGCGAUGCGUUGAGCUAACCGAUACUAAUGAACCGUGAGGCUUAACCUU